rnacentral:rRNA from 1 species
GACGAACGCUGGCGGCGUGCUUAACACAUGCAAGUCGAACGGAAAGGCCCUGCUUUUGUGGUGUGCGCGAGUGGCGAACGGGUGAGUAACACGUGAGUAACCUGCCCUUGACUUUGGGAUAACUUCAGGAAACUGGGUCUAAUACCGGAUAGGAGCUCCUGCUGCAUGGUGGGGGUUGGAAAGUUUCGGCGGUUGGGGAUGGACUCGCGGAUUAUCAGCUUGUUGGUGGGGUAGUGGCUUACCAAGGCUUUGACGGGUAGCCGGUCGGAGGGGGUGACCGGCAUCAUUGGGGAGGUGCUGCGGAGACGCCUCCUGGGGGAAGCAGUGGUGAGGAAUAUUCAAUGGUGGCAGGAAGCAUGAAGCAGCGCCGCGGGGGGCGUGACGGCGGUCGUCGUGUAGUCACCUGCCUGCGAUGGUGAAGAAGUGUGGGUGACGGUAGUGGGAAAAGAGGCACCGGCUAACUACGUG